AGUGAACGCUGGCGGUAGGCCUAACACAUGCAAGUCGAACGGCAGCACAGUAAGAGCUUGCUCUUACGGGUGGCGAGUGGCGGACGGGUGAGGAAUACAUCGGAAUCUACUUUUUCGUGGGGGAUAACGUAGGGAAACUUACGCUAAUACCGCAUACGACCUACGGGUGAAGGCAGGGGAUCUUCGGACCUUGCGCGAUUGAGUGAGCCGAUGUCGGAUUAGCUAGUUGGCGGGGUAAAGGCCCACCAAGGCGACGAUCCGUAGCUGGUCUGAGAGGAUGAUCAGCCACACUGGAACUGAGACACGGUCCAGACUCCUACGGGAGGCAGCAGUGGGGAAUAUUGGACAAUGGGCGCAAGCCUGAUCCAGCCAUACCGCGUGGGUGAAGAAGGCCUUCGGGUUGUAAAGCCCUUUUGUUGGGAAAGAAAAGCAGCAGGUUAAUACCCCGCUGUUCUGACGGUACCCAAAGAAUAAGCACCGGCUAACUUCGUG
rnacentral:rRNA from 1 species